rnacentral:rRNA from 1 species
CCUACGGGGGGCAGCAGUGAGGAAUAUUGGUCAAUGGGCGCAAGCCUGAACCAGCCAAGUCGCGUGAGGGAAGACGGUCCUAUGGAUUGUAAACCUCUUUUGUCGGGGAGCAAAAGACGCUACGCGUGGCGUUCCGAGAGUACCCGAAGAAAAAGCAUCGGCUAACUCCGUGCCAGCAGCCGCGGUAAUACGGAGGAUGCGAGCGUUAUCCGGAUUUAUUGGGUUAAAAGGGUGCGCAGGCGGAAGAUCAAGUCAGCGGUAAAAUUGAGAGGCUCAACCUCUUCGAGCCGUUGAAACUGGUUGUCUUGAGUGAGUGAGAGGUAUGCGGAAUGCGUGGUGUAGCGGUGAAAUGCAUAGAUAUCACGCAGAACUCCGAUUGCGAAGGCAGCAUACCGGCGCUCAACUGACGCUCAUGCACGAAAGUGUGGGUAUCGAACAGGAUUAGAUACCCCAGUAGUC